rnacentral:rRNA from 1 species
CCUACGGGUGGCAGCAGUGAGGAAUAUUGGUCAAUGGGCGAGAGCCUGAACCAGCCAAGUCGCGUGAGGGAAGACGGUCCUAUGGAUUGUAAACCUCUUUUGUCGGGGAGCAAAAGAUGCCACGCGUGGCGUUCCGAGAGUACCCGAUGAAAAAGCAUCGGCUAACUCCGUGCCAGCAGCCGCGGUAAUACGGAGGAUGCGAGCGUUAUCCGGAUUUAUUGGGUUUAAAGGGUUCGUGGGCGGAAGAUCAAGUCAGCGGUAAAAUUGAGGGGCUCAAUCUCUUCGAGCCGUUGAAACUGGUAUUCUUGAGUGAGCGAGAAGUAUGCGGAAUGCGUGGUGUAGCGGUGAAAUGCAUAGAUAUCACGCAGAACUCCGAUUGCGAAGGCAGCAUACCGGCGCUCAACUGACGCUGAUGCACGAAAGUGUGGGUAUCGAACAGGAUUAGAUACCCGGGUAGUC